rnacentral:rRNA from 1 species
GAUGAACGCUGGCGGCGUGCCUAAUACAUGCAAGUCGAGCGAGAAAUUAAUAGAUGAAACUUCAGUAGACUUUCUUGAUGGAGAGCGGCGGACGGGUGAGUAACGCGUAGGCAACCUGCCCUUGACAGAGGGAUAGCCAUUGGAAACGAUGAUUAAAACCUCAUAAUGUCGUAAUAGCACAUGCUCAAACGGUCAAAGAUUUAUCGGUCAGGGAUGGGCCUGCGUCUGAUUAACUAGUUGGUAAGGUAACGGCUUACCAAGGUGACGAUCAGUAGCCGACCUGAGAGGGUGAUCGGCCACAUUGGAACUGAGACACGGUCCAAACUUCUACGGAAGGCAGCAGUAGGGAAUCUUGCACAAUGGGCGAAAGCCUGAUGCAUCAACGCCGCGUGAAGGAUGAAGGCCUUCGGGUUGUAAACUUCUGUUCUUAGGGAAGAAACAAAUGACGGUACCUAAGGAGCAAGCCCCGGCUAACUACGUGCCAGCAGCCGCGGUAAUACGUAGGGGGCAAGCGUUAUCCCGAAUUAUUGGGCGUAAAGAGUGCGUAGGUGGUUACCUAAGCGCAAGGUUUAAUCUAACAGCUUAACUGUUUUCUGCCUUGCGAACUGGGCUACUUGAGUGCGGGAGGGGAAAGCGGAAUUCCUAGUGUAGCGGUGAAAUGCGUAGAUAUUAGGAGGAACACCAGCGGCGAAGGCGGCUUUCUGGACUGCAACUGACACUGAGGCACGAAAGCGUGGGGAGCAAACAGGAUUAGAUACCCUGGUAGUCCACGCCGUAAACGAUGAGCACUAGAUGUUGGGAUCUAACGAUUUCAGUGUCGCAGUUCAACGCAAUAAGUGCUCCGCCUGGGGAGUACGUUCGCAAGAAUAAAACUCAAAGGAAUUGACGGGGACCCGCACAAGCAGCGGAGCAUGUGGUUUAAUUCGAAGCAACGCGAAGAACCUUACCAGGGCUUGACAUCCUGCUGACAGGAGUUUAAUCGCUCCCUUCUUCGGACAGCAGAGACAGGUGGUGCAUGGUUGUCGUCAGCUCGUGUCGUGAGAUGUUGGGUUAAGUCCCGCAACGAGCGCAACCCUUGUCGUUAGUUACUAACAUUCAGUUGAGGACUCUAACGAGACUGCCGAGGUCAACUCGGAGGAAGGUGGGGAUGACGUCAAAUCAUCAUGCCCCUUAUGUUCUGGGCUACACACGUGCUACAAUGGUCGGUACAAUGGGAAGCAAAGCUGUGAAGUGGAGCAAAUCACCAAAGCCGAUCCCAGUUCGGAUUGUAGGCUGAAACUCGCCUACAUGAAGAUGGAGUUGCUAGUAAUCGCAGAUCAGAAUGCUGCGGUGAAUGCGUUCCCGGGUCU